rnacentral:rRNA from 1 species
UACGGAGGGGGCUAGCGUUGUUCGGAAUUACUGGGCGUAAAGCGCGCGUAGGCGGCUUUGUAAGUUAGAGGUGAAAGCCCGGGGCUCAACUCCGGAAUUGCCUUUAAGACUGCAUCGCUAGAAUCGUGGAGAGGUGAGUGGAAUUCCGAGUGUAGAGGUGAAAUUCGUAGAUAUUCGGAAGAACACCAGUGGCGAAGGCGACUCACUGGACACGUAUUGACGCUGAGGUGCGAAAGCGUGGGGAGCGAACAGG